UAACGGGGAGCUUGUGUAACAGGCUGAGAGGGAACCAGAGUUCCGACCCAUGAACCUGAUGUGGAUAAUGCCAACGUAGGAAAAAUAUUGAUAUA
rnacentral:ncRNA from 1 species